rnacentral:rRNA from 1 species
AUAAGCGCACACGGUGGAUGCCUUGGCGGUCAGAGGCGAUGAAGGACGUGGCAGCCUGCGAAAAGUAUCGGGGAGCUGGCAACAAGCUUUGAUCCGGUAAUGUCCGAAUGGGGAAACCCACCCGCUUGCGGGUAUCCUGCAGUGAAUACAUAGCUGCUGGAAGCGAACCUGGUGAACUGAAAUAUCUAAGUAACCAGAGGAAAAGAAAUCAACCGAGAUUCCGUAAGUAGCGACGAGCGAACGCGGACUAGCCCUUAAGCUGAUUUGGUUCUAGGAAAACGCUCUGGAAAGAGCGGCCAUAGAAGGUGAUAGCCCUGUAUCUGAAAGGGCCAUUUCAGUGAAGACGAGUAGGGCGGGGCACGUGAAACCCUGUCUGAACAUGGGGGGACCAUCCUCCAAGGCUAAAUACUACUGACCGACCGAUAGUGAACCAGUACCGUGAGGGAAAGGCGAAAAGAACCCCGGAGAGGGGAGUGAAAUAGAACCUGAAACCGUGUGCGUACAAGCAGUAGGAGCUCCGCAAGGAGUGACUGCGUACCUUUUGUAUAAUGGGUCAGCGACUUACUGUUCGUGGCAAGCUUAACCGUAUAGGGGAGGCGAAGGGAAACCGAGUCUGAUAAGGGCGCAUAGUCGCGGGCAGUAGACCCGAAACCGGGUGAUCUAGUCAUGCCCAGGGUGAAGGUGCGGUAACACGCACUGGAGGCCCGAACCCACUCCCGUUGCAAAGGUAGGGGAUGAGGUGUGAUUAGGAGUGAAAAGCUAAUCGAACCCGGAGAUAGCUGGUUCUCCUCGAAAGCUAUUUAGGUAGCGCCUCAUAUGUAUCCUCUCGGGGGUAGAGCACUGUUAUGGCUAGGGGGUCAUCGCGACUUACCAAACCAUUGCAAACUCCGAAUACCGAGACGGACUGUAUGGGAGACACACGGCGGGUGCUAACGUCCGUCGUGAAAAGGGAAACAACCCAGACCCACAGCUAAGGUCCCAAAUUUUGUGCUAAGUGGAAAACCAUGUGGAAAGGCACAGACAGCCAGGAGGUUGGCUUAGAAGCAGCCACCCUUUAAAGAAAGCGUAAUAGCUCACUGGUCGAGUCGGUCUGCGGGGAAGAUUUAACGGGGCUAAGCACAGAACCGAAGCUUGGGGUGCAUACUUUGUAUGCGCGGUAGAGGAGCGUUCCGUAAGCCGUUGAAGGUGGAUUGAGAAGUCUGCUGGAGGUAUCGGAAGUGCGAAUGCUGACAUGAGUAACGAUAAUGCGGGUGAAAAACCCGCACGCCGAAAGCCCAAGGUUUCCUUGCGCAACGUUAAUCGGCGCAGGGUGAGUCGGCCCCUAAGGCGAGGACGAAAGUCGUAGUCGAUGGGAAGCAGGUUAAUAUUCCUGCACCUCGCGUAAGUGCGAUGGAGGGACGGAGAAGGUUAGGUGUACCAGGCGUUGGUUGUCCUGGGGAAAGGCGGUAGGUUUGGAUCUUUGGCAAAUCCGGGAUCCUCUAAGACCGAGCACCGAGACGAGCCUUUAUGGCGAAGUCACUGAUACCACGCUUCCAGGAAAAGCUCCUAAGCUUCAGCUUACGCAGACCGUACCGUAAACCGACACAGGUGGGUAGGAUGAGAAUUCUCAGGCGCUUGAGAGAACUCGGGUGAAGGAACUAGGCAACAUGGCACCGUAACUUCGGGAGAAGGUGCACCCUUUUUGGUGGCUCGUGCGAGCUAUAGCUGAAGAGGGUCGCAGUAACCAGGCCGCUGCGACUGUUUAUCAAAAACACAGCACUCUGCAAACACGAAAGUGGACGUAUAGGGUGUGACGCCUGCCCGGUGCUGGAAGGUUAAUUGAUGGGGUCAGCCGCAAGGCGAAGCUCUUGAUCGAAGCCCCAGUAAACGGCGGCCGUAACUAUAACGGUCCUAAGGUAGCGAAAUUCCUUGUCGGGUAAGUUCCGACCUGCACGAAUGGCGUAACGACAGCGGCGCUGUCUCCACCCGAGACUCAGUGAAAUUGAAAUCGCUGUGAAGAUGCAGCGUUCCCGUGGCAAGACGGAAAGACCCCGUGAACCUUUACUAUAGCUUUACACUGAACGUUGAGUUCGUCUGUGUAGGAUAGGUGGGAGGCUAUGAAACCAUGGCGCUAGCUGUGGCGGAGCCAUCCUUGAAAUACCACCCUGUCGUGCUUGACGUUCUAACCUGGGCCCAUUAUCUGGGUCGGGGACCGUGUAUGGUGGGUAGUUUGACUGGGGCGGUCUCCUCCUAAAGAGUAACGGAGGAGCUCGAAGGUACGCUCAGCGCGGUCGGACAUCGCGCACUGUGUGCAAAGGCAUAAGCGUGCUUGACUGCAAGAUCGACGGAUCAAGCAGGUAGGAAACUAGGACUUAGUGAUCCGGUGGUUCUGUAUGGAAGGGCCAUCGCUCAACGGAUAAAAGGUACUCCGGGGAUAACAGGCUGAUACCGCCCAAGAGUUCAUAUCGACGGCGGUGUUUGGCACCUCGAUGUCGGCUCAUCACAUCCUGGGGCUGUAGUCGGUCCCAAGGGUAUGGCUGUUCGCCAUUUAAAGUGGUACGCGAGCUGGGUUCAGAACGUCGUGAGACAGUUCGGUCCCUAUCUGCCAUGGGCGUUGGAGAUUUGAGAGGGGCUGCUCCUAGUACGAGAGGACCGGAGUGGACGAACCUCUGGUGUUCCGGUUGUCACGCCAGUGGCAUUGCCGGGUAGCUAUGUUCGGAAGCGAUAACCGCUGAAAGCAUCUAAGCGGGAAGCGCGCCUCAAGAUGAGAUCUCCCGGGGCACAAGCCCCCUGAAGGAACCAUGUAGACUACGUGGUUGAUAGGUCAGGUGUGUAAGUACAGCAAUGUAUUGAGCUAACUGAUACUAAUGAUCCGAGAGGCUUGACC